rnacentral:rRNA from 1 species
GGUGACGAUAGCAGAGAGGUUCCACCUGUUCUCAUACCGAACACAGAAGUUAAGCUCUCUUACGCCGAAAGUACUCGAGGAUCACCCUCCGGGAGGAUAGGUAGUUGCC